UUUAUGGAGAGUUUGAUCCUGGCUCAGAGUGAACGCUGGCGGCGUGCCUAAUACAUGCAAGUCGAACGAUGAAGCUUCUAGCUUGCUAGAAUGCUGAUUAGUGGCGCACGGGUGAGUAACGCAUAGGUCAUGUGCCUCUUAGUUUGGGAUAGCCAUUGGAAACGAUGAUUAAUACCAGAUACUCCCUACGGGGGAAAGAUUUAUCGCUAAGAGAUCAGCCUAUGUCCUAUCAGCUUGUUGGUAAGGUAAUGGCUUACCAAGGCUAUGACGGGUAUCCGGCCUGAGAGGGUGAACGGACACACUGGAACUGAGACACGGUCCAGACUCCUACGGGAGGCAGCAGUAGGGAAUAUUGCUCAAUGGGGGAAACCCUGAAGCAGCAACGCCGCGUGGAGGAUGAAGGUUUUAGGAUUGUAAACUCCUUUUGUUAGAGAAGAUAAUGACGGUAUCUAACGAAUAAGCACCGGCUAACUCCGUGCCAGCAGCCGCGGUAAUACGGAGGGUGCAAGCGUUACUCGGAAUCACUGGGCGUAAAGAGCGCGUAGGCGGGAUAGUCAGUCAGGUGUGAAAUCCUAUGGCUUAACCAUAGAACUGCAUUUGAAACUACUAUUCUAGAGUGUGGGAGAGGUAGGUGGAAUUCUUGGUGUAGGGGUAAAAUCCGUAGAGAUCAAGAGGAAUACUCAUUGCGAAGGCGACCUGCUAGAACAUUACUGACGCUGAUUGCGCGAAAGCGUGGGGAGCAAACAGGAUUAGAUACCCUGGUAGUCCACGCCCUAAACGAUGGAUGCUAGUUGUUGGAGGGCUUAGUCUCUCCAGUAAUGCAGCUAACGCAUUAAGCAUCCCGCCUGGGGAGUACGGUCGCAAGAUUAAAACUCAAAGGAAUAGACGGGGACCCGCACAAGCGGUGGAGCAUGUGGUUUAAUUCGACGAUACACGAAGAACCUUACCUAGGCUUGACAUUGAGAGAAUCCGCUAGAAAUAGUGGAGUGUCUAGCUUGCUAGACCUUGAAAACAGGUGCUGCACGGCUGUCGUCAGCUCGUGUCGUGAGAUGUUGGGUUAAGUCCCGCAACGAGCGCAACCCCCUUUCUUAGUUGCUAACAGGUCAUGCUGAGAACUCUAAGGAUACUGCCUCCGUAAGGAGGAGGAAGGUGGGGACGACGUCAAGUCAUCAUGGCCCUUACGCCUAGGGCUACACACGUGCUACAAUGGGGUGCACAAAGAGAAGCAAUACUGCGAAGUGGAGCCAAUCUUCAAAACGCCUCUCAGUUCGGAUUGUAGGCUGCAACUCGCCUGCAUGAAGCUGGAAUCGCUAGUAAUCGCAAAUCAGCCAUGUUGCGGUGAAUACGUUCCCGGGUCUUGUACUCACCGCCCGUCACACCAUGGGAGUUGUGUUUGCCUUAAGUCAGGAUGCUAAAUUAGCUACUGCCCACGGCACACACAGCGACUGGGGUGAAGUCGUAACAAGGUAACCGUAGGUGAACCUGCGGUUGGAUCACCUCCUUUCUAGA
rnacentral:rRNA from 1 species